rnacentral:tRNA from 1 species
AGCCGGGUGACCGAGUGGCGAGGUAAUGGUCUGCAAAACCUUUAACAGUGGUUCGAAUCCACUCCCGGCGU